rnacentral:rRNA from 1 species
UACGAAGGGGGCUAGCGUUGCUCGGAAUCACUGGGCGUAAAGCGCACGUAGGCGGCUUUUUAAGUCAGGGGUGAAAUCCUGGAGCUCAACUCCAGAACUGCCUUUGAUACUGGGAAUCUCGAGUCCGGGAGAGGUGAGUGGAACUGCGAGUGUAGAGGUGAAAUUCGUAGAUAUUCGCAAGAACACCAGUGGCGAAGGCGGCUCACUGGCCCGGUACUGACGCUGAGGUGCAAAAGCGUGGGGAGCAAACAGG